UCUUUCCUUUACUUUUCUGAAUGUCUAUAAAGAAUCAUUUCAGCCCAGUGUCAGUUCUUUAAUGGUGAGGCACAACCCAACAGUGUUCUUGGGCUUUCUCUUCAAAGCUUUGUGCUCAUUUUAAAUGCACAUGUCAUGUUGGAAUGCAUUGCUGUCCCCCUUUCUUUUGAUCUUUCUAGAUUUUUCUUAAAAAAAUAGAAAGAAAGAAAAGUAACAAGGGGCUUGGGUUGCUACAGUGUCGCUGUCAUCCAUCUUGUGCUACAGUGUUGCCAACUUCAUUGCCAGUCAGACCUGUGAAACAACCAUUUGCCUCUGCUGAGGUUUGGAGCUUUUAAAGACUGUAUUUAUUUAAUUAUUUAUUUGAAUAAAAUUUUUUGUUAGAAUUUUUUUCUUGGAUGGAAACGGUAUCAUUUCAUAUUUAUAUUUGUUUUAGUCAGACCAAGAUGUCCUUAUGUUCCCUCCCUAUGGGCAUGUAGCCUUUCGGGUAGCCCAAUGCUUGAACACUAGUGUUUCUGACUUACCUUAGCAAACUCACUAAUUUUGAAAGAUCUGAUUGCUUGGAUUUGUUUUCUGUUAAUUUCUUGCUUUAUGAACUUACAUGUUAGGGAGCAUAAUUUCUACCCUUGUAGAGUACUAUGUGUGUCCCCUCAUAGUUUCGUUGAGCAAAGUUAGAGAAAAUUGGUGUGUACUAGGUAGUGUGAAUCUUAUUCAUCCAUUUUUAAAUUAUGUUGUCUCUCUGAUUGUCCAGCUGUAGAAAUUCUUUAAACACAAAUUUUAUACUAGAUUAAUGUUCAGCAUACACUGUUCCAGUUCUGAGGGAUGACUUCCAACUCUCCUAAUGCUGCUCUGUAAAGUACACAGUUUUUAAUUUUGAUGAAAUCCAGCUUGUCUCUUUUGUCUCUCUUGUUCUUUUUGUCAUUUAUAAGCUGUUGCUUAAUCUAAGAUUACAAUGAUUUUUUUUCCUACAUUUCCUUGUGUGAUUUUUAUAACUUUAAUUUUGAAUUAACUUUAUAUGGUGUGCAAUGAGGAUCUACUUGUACCUGAAUCACUUGCUGAAAAGAAAAGACUAUUCUUUUCCCAUUGAGUGUUUAACACCCUUGUCAAAAGUCAUUUGACCAUAUGUGAAUUUUCAGUUUGAUUCCAUUGAUCUGGAUACCUAUCUAUGAUAAAGUCCCUAACAUGUUGUUUUGAUUUACUAUAGCUUGGUACCCUUUGAGACUGGGAGGGAUGAGGCUGCAACGUCAGUAUUGUGUGGACUAGUCUGUAUUUCUCCUACUGCUGUAGCAAUUUUCCGUGCGUGUUAAUCUUACUGCAGUGGCUGGGGUUUGAGUGGCAUUGUGCUGAGUGUUUUGUCCGCUGGAGGGCGCCACCUCUCGGCAGUGCUAAUGCUUCCCACCCAUGAGCAGGAGGCCUCCCCUUACUUGGGGUUCCUUUCAACAGGGCGUUCUCCUCAGUCCCCUUUCCUCAGACAGUGGUUUCAGUUUCCUGUGUGCAUUGUGCAGCACCAGAAUUGAAAUCCAUUAUACUUGCUUAUUUUCUGACCAAUUUGAAUCCGGGUUUAAAGUAUUCUUCAGCACUCUUACCAUAAAAACAUAAACAAAAACGUGAUUCAAAGUUUUAUUUUGGGGUUGGGGAUUUAGCUCAGUGGUAGAGCGCUUGGCAAGGCCCUGGGUUCGGUCCCCAGCUCCGGAAAAAAAAGAAAAAAAAAGUUUUAUUUUUAGUUGCUAGUUGAACCUUCUCCCUAAAAAUGUAUUUAAAAAACACAUUCUUCAUGUGUUUUUGUUUUUUUUUUUUCCUUUUAGAAUUGGGCUUGUUUUCAGAGAUUCUAGAGCCAUACACAUUGCUAUUCCAGCUCUGCCAUCUGGGGAGAUUUACUGACUGUGGCAGUCAAAUGAAUACAUUCCUUUCCUUUCUCUUCACAUGCCUCACUUAGAGAUAACCUUCCAGAUUGUGCCUCAGAGAUGUCAUGUGACCCGUUUCUGUACCUUUGUGUCCUCCCCACCAUGCCUCACUUCCAGAAGCUUCCUGCUUUUACUAGCAGAGGGUUGUUGGUUUUGAGCGUAGAGCCCAGGGCUGGGAAAGCAGCCUUUCUUCUCUACUCAUUGUUUUUCCCACUUGGGAAGUCCAUACAUAAUUUAAUUACAUGUUUCUUCUGAGAGCAAGAAAGGAAGGUUACAGGGAGUAAAAGCACUUUUCUUCCAUGAAAACACGAUUUUCUCUGUGGCUUAAGCAAGCCUCCAGGCGGGAAGAAAGGUACAGAUGAUUGGCUAAAGUGGAAGUGCAGACCCGCUGUGGGAGACUUCACAGUAAUACAUUGUUUCUUUCUAGAUGGGUUUACAAGUGCACACUGCCUAAGGUUCACUCCAGUGUUUGUUGGUAGAGCACAUGCUAUAAAUUUGAGUGGGACUUUAGUAUCCAAACAGGAUUUUAAGCACAGUAGGGUAGGAAAAUUGUCAUUUGGUCUGUGAAAUUCAGUGACAGAUGCUCACAUUAGAAACAGUCAUGAUGACCCUGGAGUCGGGUGAGGGGAGCUGGAGGGGGAGGGAGUGGGGAAAGUGAGGAAGCUGGUAACUUGUUAUGCUUAUGUUCAGGAAUAAGCUGGACAGGAGAAGAUAUUUUCUCUUUGCUUUUUGGUGUUUUUCUUUGCUUCUUGGUGUUUACACCUAGCAGUUGUAAUGAGCAGACAACUCUGAGGGGCUUAUUUCUCUUGGAUUCUGGCUUCGAUGUUACCAGCCUCCGCCUCAGAUGAGUCCAUCCUGACCUCUCCCCACGCUGUCUAUAGAACUCCCUGUAACUGCGACCAGACAGUAUGAAAUUUGAAAGUAUAAACUGGAUCAUGUCUUUAUAGCAGUCUUAUAUUUUACAGUGUACUGAAUUUGUACCAUCUGAUCUGAGAAAGACUCUGGCCACUGAUCCCGACUCAGAACCUGAGGCCUUUAAAAUGAUGCGUUUCAUGGGGUGCCCUUAUAAGUGAGGAGGGAUCUUGAUGAGUUACUGGGACAGAGAUUUUAGAGUUUGUCAUAAUCCAUUGUUUCUCUUCCCUGGGGAAUACAGUUUCUCAUGAGAAUGAGCCCUCUUAGGUAAAGUGGGUUUCCACCAGAAACUGAGUAUCCUGAUGUUAUAACCAGAAUGACAGAUUUGCCCACUUCUUUUAUUCUUUGUUUUAAAUAUGAAUGUACUGAAAUAGUCAUGAUCAAUAAAGGAAUAUUUAAGGCAUGGAAUUAUAAUCAGUUGAUUUUCUAGAAAUUUUUUUUUCUUUUCUUUUUUUCGGAGCUGGGGACCGAACCCAGGGCCUUGUGCUUGCUAGGCAAGCGCUCUACCACUGAGCUAAAUCCCCAACCCCAUUUUCUAGAAAUUUUAAAAGCCCCCUCUCUCCCAAUUAAUAUUCAUUUCUCUAGCAGGGAGGAAAGAAAAUCAGCUGUAGUAAUAGCUCGCAGUGAUUAUUUGCUUACAAGUCAGGCACAUAGGUUUAAAGCCCCUAACAUGCAUUGUUUUUUCUAAUUCUUACAUUAUGUGAUACGUAUGUUACCCACAUUUUUCAGAUGAGGAAACUGUCACUUACCAACUGAUUAGCCCAUCAGGUAUUUGAAUGCAGGCAGUUGGACUGCCAAGUUGGUGGGCAUAACUAUUGUGUCCUGGUACCUCCUGUAAUAGCAGGGCUCUGUGGGAAGCAGAGGAAAUCCUGAAGGUGAAGUCCUGAGUGCAUGUGUGCUGUUGAUGUGAGCUUGCCGUGUCAAGGGUCCUAGCCUCAGACACAUCCCACGGCAAUGUUGACAGAAUGCAGAAACUGUCCAAUGUGUCUCUCUGCCCCUGGGUAUUCACAGCCUGAAGACUUCUUCCUUACAAAGACAGCUCUUGCCAAGAAUAUGUAAACCUGUUUCCUUGAUCCAAUUAGGUAUCAUAAAAUCCUGCCUCCUAUAAUCUGUGUAAUAGGGCCACCUCCUUGUCCAGUUGCAUCCAGUGCCCACCUCUCUGUUCAACCUUGUACAGUAAACAUGCAGGGCUUUCAGGCACUGAGGCUCCUCUGUCAGAGACCCAAACCCACCCAACCCCCAGCUUCCUCUGUGUGUGUGUGUGUGUGUGUGUGUGUGUGUGUCUUCUUUAUUCCUUUAUCUCCCCAAGUUAGUUCCAAGUCCCUAGGGGUUGAGUAAGGACUUCACAGUGCACACACAUUCCCACUCUUCUAACCCUUCAGAGCUCUCUAGUUCACUUGUCCUUAGUUUUAUUAUUAAGUGGACUAACGUUUUGGUUCAGGUAACUGGAGUGUGGGAUUUACUAAUGAAAAAAAAAAUCCUAGGUUCCAUGAGAAUACUAUAGAUUUUGAAAAGGUAGCAUUCAGGCCUAUCCUAAAAUGACUUGAGUGCUCAAUGUAUAAUAGGCAGAAACUUACAGUGAAAGUCUCACCGGAAGAAGAAUUAGGCCUGUUCUGUGUAAAGCUGAAAGAUGGAGCUUGGAUCAGAAACUGAAAAUUGGAGAAAAUAUAGAUAUUUGCUUUCUUGAGAGGAAUGAUUGUCAGUAUCUACAGAAUCGGGAAAUUACUAUUUAAUUAGUACCUUUUUAAAAUUAAUUUAUUCACUUUAUAUCCCAAUAUCAGCACCCCCUUUCCUCCCAGUACCCCCUUACACAGAUCUUCCCCCAUUCCACCUUCUCCUUUGCCAAGGGGGAGCCCCCCUCGGUAUAAGCCCCCUCCCCCCACAUCAAGUUGUGUUUGUCACCAUUUUUAUAGUAGGACGAGAGCUUAUGCUGUAAAUUGUGGGCCCUACUCUCAUGACAUAAACUACUUUGUUCUAACUAUGAGUAAGUUUGCUUGGGGUUUUUUUUGAGGCCAGUGAAAGAAUUAUUUUAAGCUUUAGGAGUAUACAAGACUUGAAUGAUGGCUCAGUGCAGAGGAUGGAAGUUUGAUUCCCAGCACCAUUUUGGGCAGCUCACAGCCACCUCUCACUGUAGCUCCAGGCAGACUGAUGCCGCUUGUCUCCACAGGUACAGUGCUCACAUCUAUAAAUCCACAGCUUACAAACUCACACAAAGACACGGGUUUGGACCCAGUUAAAAGAGAUCUCUUUUUAAAAAGCAGUAUGCACAGGUCAAAAGAUUUCGAGACCUUGAGAGAUGUUUUUUUUCUGACAGUAACCUUUUCCAUACUGUUUCCAUAGAAAGGAAAGUUGGGUUUUCUCUACUGUGAUAAAACUAGAUGAUGGGAAUUUUCUGCAUAAGCAGUUUGAUACUGCAGUGGCAUCCAGUGGUUAUGUCUGUCAGCACUGACAUCAUGAAGAAAAUCAUGUCAUGAAAGUUGGUUUUGUUUGUUUGAUUUGAGACGGGGUUCUCGGUGUGGCCCUGGUUGUCUUGGAACUCACUCUGUAGACCAGGCUGACCUUGAACUCCGAGAUCUAUCUGCCUGUCCAUUCCUCUCCAAGUGCUGGGGUUAAAGGUGUACACCACUACUGCCCAGCUAUUAAAUUUGUUUUGGAGUUGAUAACGGUACUCAUAAAGACUAGAAGAUUUAAGGACAUUAUAGCAUUUUUAUUUAUAGAAGUUAUGUCAUAUACAAAUAAAUAUGUUUUAUGUAAAUGUAUAAAGCUUUCCCUAUAAAAAUCUAGGUGUAUAUGAAAAAAAAACCUUUUGUUUCUUGACCAUUAGUUUCCUGGUAUUUAAUAGCAUAGCUAAUGGGUAGUAGACAUUGUUUUUAAAUAAGUUAUUAUGUUAUAUUAGUCCAUGAACUAUGAAGACUAAAUAUCCGGGUUCCCUUUAGGCAGAUGGUUAUAUAGUAUAUGGUUAUAUGGUAUAUGGUUAUAUGGUAUAUAUUUUAGUUCCCAAAUAAAAAGAAAACAGGUAUCAUAGAUCAAGUCAGUGAUGAGUAUUAAUUUUUCACUUGAGGGAAAUAUUUUUAUAUUCCUUUAGAUUAUGUUUAUGGCAUCAUUUGUCUUGAAUUUCUCAUGAAUUCUGCUUUGUUUAGUCUAUCUCUUUUGUAAUUUAAUUCCAUAGGAUUAUAUUUUUUCUAGUUAGAAUUUAUGAAUUAAGUUUAAAUUACACAUACAAAUCAGUUGCAUUUAUGCAUGUUAAGUUCUCUGUAGCUUCCUUGUAACUUCUGCACCCUUGAAUAGGCAUGGUGUUGACAGAUACAGAAUGCUGCCAUCACACCAAAAAGUGCUUUUAGACCAACUGAGCUCAGUGGCAGUGUUUUAUGAGAAGAAUGUUAACAAAGGGAUUAAACCACUGUUACUGUCGAGAAGAAAACAGAAAUAUUUUAAGGUAUUGAAGUGGCCAAGAUUGGGGGGGGGGUUGGGCAGAAUAGAGUAGCAAGAGCUCUAAAGCACAGGAAAAGAAAGCAAAAUAAACACACAUCAGCAAACUGAAAGCCUGCUGUACAACAGGAGGAAAUGGGACGAGCUACAGAAUGAGAGAACGCAUCUGCAAAUUAUGCAGUAAAGAACUCCAGGAACUAAACAGACAAAAAAUGGGAGGACAAAGCCCUAGGUAGACAUUUUAAAAACAUGCAAAUGACCACCCACAUGUGAAGAAAUGCUCAGUGUCAUUUGUUAUCAGGGAAAUGUAAGUGAAACCACCAGGUAUCAUUUCACCUUAGUAAGAAUGGCUAUCACCAGGAAAACUAAAGGCAGGUUCAGGGAGGGCGGUUAGGAAAUGGCCCUUAGGCACUGUUGAUUGGAAUGUAAAUUAGUGUAGCGGAAAGAUCUUUAAAAAUGCCAAAGCAACCCCACUCAUGGCCCUUAUAUACCUAGCCACCAAAACUAGAUAAGAUUGAUGAAGCUAAAAAGUGCAUACUGAAAGGGCAUGCCCAAUACAGCAGUCAAUGCUAGCAGCAAACCACCAAACUGAGAACAGGACCCCCUUGGGGGAAUUAGAGGAAGGAUUGAAAGAGUUGAAGGAGCUCGCAACCCCAUAAAAAUAACAAUGCCAACCAACCAGAGCUUCCAGGGACUAAACCACUACACAUGGACUGACCCAGGGCUCCAACUGCAUCUGUAGCAGAGAAUAGCCUUGUUGGGGCACCAGUGGGGAAGAAUAGCCAGUUGGGGAAGCCCUUGGUCCUGCCAAGGUUGGACCCCCAGUGCAGGAAAUAUAGGGGGCACAUUAAGGGGGAUGGAUGGGGGAUACCCAUAUCAGGGAAGGGGAGGAGAGGGGAUUUAUGGACAGGAAACUGGGAAAGGGAAUAACAUGUGAAAUGUAAAUAAAGAAAUAUACCUAGGGGUUGGGGAUUUGGCUCAGUGGUAGAGCGCUUGCCUAGCAAGCUCAAGGCCCUGGGUUCGGUCCCCAGCUCCAAAAAAAAGAAUAGAAAAAAAAAAAAAAGAAAUAUACCUAAUAAAAAAAGAAAGAAAAGGAAAGAAAAGAGAGAAAGAAAGAAAGAAAGAAAGAAAGAAAGAAAGAAAGAAAGAAAGAAAAGCUUAUAGAUACAACAAGAAAAAAAGUGCCAAAGCAGAACUGUUAUAGGAUACAGGUAACCUAUUAUUGGGUAUAUAAAUAAAAGAGACAAUUUGAAGAAAAUAAGCAUCUUCAAUCUCAUGCUUAUUUUACAACUAUUCACACAAGCCCAGGAAUGGUACAUUCUAAGCACCCAUGGGCUGACAGAUGUACAAAGUGUGGUGGUGCAUAUACACAGUGGAUUAUCAUUCAGACGUAAAAUGAAUGGAAUUGUCAUUUGUGACGUGAAUAGAACUGAAGGUCACAGUAGGCAGGCAUAGAAAGGUGGGCACUGUGUGGAGCUCGGACACAUGGGUUCUUACAAAGUUCAUCUUGUGGAAGUUGAAAACAUACUGGUACUUGCCACAGGUUUAUGAGGGGAAGAAUGAGCAGCGGCCAGUAGGUGGGCACUUAGGAGUAAGACAUCAGGGUAGAGCACUUGUGUAGUAGGUGGGCACUUAGGAGUAAGACAUCAGGGUAGAGCACUUGUGUAGCACACACGACCUCUGGGCCUGCUCUUCCUGCAUCAGUUGCAGUGCGUAGUGGCAUGUCUCAGAAUAUAUUGAAAUAUUAUACAAAACACAAAAUAGAGCUGUAAUGACUAGCAUCGGUUUAAUGCAGAUGUUAGAAGGGACUCGGUAAGGUAGGAAAGAGGAGAAAAAGAACACAUAGAAGUGAACAUUUUUAACUAAUCCGCAGAGAAAGCACAUAGCUAAUUCUUGGGACAUUUUUAGAUCUGUAAUUGCUAUUCUUUUCACUCACAAAAUGAAAUCGAUUCUGUAGCCUUAGUGGUUGUUUUUUUUUCAUGUAUGUGUAUGUAGUAUGUGUGUGCAUGUAUGUGCAUUCAUGUAGGAAGUUGAUAUCAGGGAUCAGCCUCUAGUUCUCUUCCAUCCUGGUCAGUGAGGCAGGGUGUGGUCUCUCAGUCAAACCCAGGCCCGGCUGUUAGGACUCGUCUCCCAGCCUGCUCUGCAGAUCCCUUGUCGUCCGGGGCUGCACCAGGCAGGUUGCCAUCUCCACCCAGCACUUACUGCUCACAGGGCAAGAGCUUCACACGUAGUGCUUGACCGCAGCCACCCCUGGCCCUGCCGUCUUACUUCUGGAUUGCAGAUUCAGAUUCUUCACACUCAAAGGUGACUCUAGAAAAUAGCAACUUUAAAUUAUUUCUAUUGAACAUAUGAUUUCAUUUUAUAUUUCAGGUCAAAUAUCAAUUUUAGAAACCGUGUAUUUCUUUUAGUUCCCACUAAUUGACUAGUUCUUUGAUGUUUUAUGACUAGCUAUGGAGAUAAGUUCUUGCCUGUUUCAUCAGACUUCACCUGACUUCACCUUAGGGAGAAAUAUGUUGUUUGAAGAAAGUAAUUUCAUUCUUUAGUUUCUUGUUCUACUUUAGACUUAAACAUUUUGGGGAAAAAUACAGUAUGAAUUUUAUCCAUGAUAAAAAAAUUUACGUCCUAUCAUUUUCCUGUUGCUCAUAUGGAAAUAACCUCGGCAUUGUAUUAUAUGGUAUGCUGAUUAGAAAAAAUGGACAAUAAAGAAACAAAAGUAUUAUUAUUUGUUUUUAAUACCCAUCAAUUUCCAUUUGUGUUGUUCUUACAUUGUUGGAUGCAUGCCCUUCAUUGAAAUAUGGUCGAUUCCCAGGGGCUGUCCUCUUAAAGGAAACUGACUCGUACUUAGCAGUGGUUUCUUUGGAUGGGAGUGGGGGGACUUGAUGCCCACCUGUGCUCUUCAUAUUGGGAUUUGGCGUGGCUGGAGCUUACACGGGUCUUGUAUAUGUCACAAUUGCUGUGAGUUAUGUGUGGGGCUGACCUGUUGAGCCUGGAAGAUACCAUUUCCUUGUAGCCACCUUUGGCUCCUACAUUCUUUCCACCCCUAUCCCACAAUGAUCCCAGAACCCUGGGAGAAGGGGCUUUGAUUAUGCAUGUGUCAUUUGGGGCUGAACACUCCAUUCUCCUGCGCUCAGCACCAUAACUGGUUGUGGGUCCUGUUAGUCACCAUCUUCUUCAAAUAGGAGCUUCUGAGGAGGGUUGAGAGAUGGCGCUCAUCUAUAGGUGUAACAUUUCAUCAUUAGGAAUCAGUUUAUUCGGGCUGGAGAGAUGGCUCAGUGGUUAAGAGCACUGACUGCUCCUCCAGAGGUCCUGAGUUCAAAUCCCAGCAACCACAUGGUGGCUCACAACCAUCUGUAAUGGGAUCCAAUGCCCUCUUCUGGUGUGUCUGAAGAGAGUGACAGUGAACUCACAUAUAUAAAAUAAAUCUUUUUCUUAAAAAAGAAUCCGUUUACUCUUUUGCCUAUUUGGUAGAAUAAUAGUAGGGUCUCCUCUAGAGUCUGUGACGUAAUCUCAGGUCAUGGUUUCAUGUUGUGGAGUGGAUCUUAAAACCAGAUAGAAGGUAGUUGGUUACUCCUAUGACAGUUGUACCACUCUUGUGCCAGUGGGCAUUUCUUGUCAGGCCACUCACUCCUCACUGUGGCUUACACAGUCACGGCUGGGUAAGAUUGAUGCUUAUUGUUCCUCUCCUGUAGUGUAUGCGAAACCUCUAAACACUAUGAACGCUGUAGUCGUGAAGCUUCCGGUCAGUACCAUCUUGAUAUUUCUCUGUUCUAUUGGCUCAAGUUCAUAGUGCUUUCAGCAGUAGGGCUUCACUGUCAGGCUGGAGGGUAGCCAAGAGCACUGGCAUAGACCCCUAAAUAUUGUAGCCAUUUCAGUGCACUUCGUUUACUGACUCUGAUGGACACAUAAUUGGUUCCUCUUGAGUCUAGGAGUAACUUUUGGUUAAUGUACUAUAUAUCUUUUUAAAAAAUAUUUAUUUUGGGGUUGGGGAUUUAGCUCAGCGGUAGAGCGCAAGGCCCUGGGUUCGGUCCCCAGCUCCGGAAAAGAAAAAAAGAAAAAUGAAAAAAAAAUAUUUAUUUUAUGUAUACGAGUAUUCUGCCUUCAGACCCACCAGGAGAGGGCAUCAGAUCCCAUUACAGAUGGUUGUGAGCCACCAUGUGGUUGCUGGGAUUUGAACUCGGGACCUCUGGAAGAGCAAUCAACUCUCCAGCCUGUCUACACUUUUUUUAAAAGUAUAAAGCAGUAAAAAGCAGAAAAACUUAGAGCUCUGGAAAUGGUUUGAUUUAUUUUUGUGCCCAUUUUUAUAAUUCAGUAUUACUGAAUAUGAGUAUUUUCAGUAGUUAUUAGUCAUAAAGAGUUUGGUUUUUUUUUUCUCUUCCUAAUUAAACUUUGUUUCCCUGAAACUACUUGGUUGUUAUUUAUUUCUGCUUUGAAAACAGGCCAGUGUUUUAGUUUUCCUUGUCAAGUUGCUGAGUUUCAGCAUCAGACUUAAGAUGCCUCCAUUUAACACCUUUAUAGAAGGGGAGGUGGGUGGGCUAAGGGGCUUAUGGCUGGGAAACCGGGAAAGGGCUAUUUACAUUUGAAAUGUAAAUAAAUAAUAUCCAAGAAAGGAAAAGAGACGCCUCCAUUACCCUUCUCCACUUUUUAAAGUUUUCCACUGCCGAGUCUGUAGUUUGCACCGUGUCGGUCUUCACAGUCUUCUGACCGUCUUUACAGUGAUUGGUCCUAGUUUUGACAUUUAUCUGCACAGGCGUGGAGAGGAUACUUUCUUCUUUAUUCCAUGUCUAUGGCAGGGAAUUUUUUGUUCCUAGUUUUUUCUUACAUUUUCUUAUGCUAAUAUGUUGCUCAUUGUAAUGCUUUGAAUCUAAAGAGCUGUUUUUAUUUUUAAAAAUUUUCUAGUUACAUUUCUGCUUUUAUCCUUACAAGCCCCUCUUCAUCAGUAUUACUGAUAAUUGGAGUAGCUUUUGUUUGGGUUGUUACUUUCAGUAAAGGCAAUAAAGUGAGAAGCACGAGCCCCUUCCUCCCUGUUUAAAGUUGCGACACAGAGACUCAAGGGGUAGUUGCUUAAGUAGGAAUUAACGUCCCCUUAUGUGCUGUGUGGAGCAGUUGCUGGCCAUACUUCCCUUCCUUCCCAUGGUGGUUUUGAUGAAAGAGUACUUUGAAAGAAUUAGCCAUCUGCAGUCUUUAGUUAAAGAGAAAUGGCCUAUUUAGAAUUCCUCUAGCAUCCUGGCUGCUGCCCUACCCACCUAGUCUGUGCUAACAUCGCCAUGUUUGUGCAGAGGCCGUUCAUUCUUCCUUCAUUCCCUCCCUCCUCCUUACUUCCUUCCGUCGCUCCUUCCUUCCUU